rnacentral:rRNA from 1 species
CUACGUAGGGGGCGAGCGUUGUCCGGAAUGAUUGGGCGUAAAGGGCGCGUAGGCGGCCCGGUAAGUCUGGAGUGAAAGUCCUGUUUUUAAGAUGGGAAUUGCUUUGGAUACUGCCGCGCUUGAGUGCAGGAGAGGUUAUCGGAAUUCCCGGUGUAGCGGUGAAAGGCGUAGAGAUCGGGAGGAACACCAGUGGCGAAGGCGGGUAACUGGACUGCAACUGACGCUGAGGCGCGAAAGUGUGAGGAGCAAACAGGAUUAGAUACCCUGGUAGUCCACACUGUAAACGAUGAAUGCUAGGUGUAAGAGGUAUCGACCCCUUUUGUGCCGGAGUCAACACAAUAAGCAUUCCGCCUGGGGAGUACGGCCGCAAGGUUGGAACUUAAAGGAAUUGACGGG